rnacentral:rRNA from 1 species
GUGCCAGCCGCCGCGGUAAUACGUAGGGGACAAGCGUUGUCCGGAAUCACUGGGCGUAAAGGGCGCGUAGGCGGUUUUAUAAGUCAGAUGUGAAAGGUACCGGCUCAACCGGUGACGUGCAUUUGAAACUGUAAGACUUGAGUACUGGAGAGGCAAGUGGAAUUCCUAGUGUAGCGGUGAAAUGCGUAGAUAUUAGGAGGAACACCGGUGGCGAAGGCGGCUUGCUGGACAGAUACUGACGCUGAGGUGCGAAAGCGUGGGGAGCGAACAGGAUUAGAUACCCUGGUAGUCCACGCCGUAAACGAUGAUGACUAGGUGUUGGGGAAACUCAGUGCCGCAGUUAACACAUUAAGUCAUCCGCCUGGGGAGUACGACCGCAAGGUUGAAACUCAAAUGAAUUGACGG